AAUAGAUAGAGACUUCUUGUUCCUCCAAGACAUUUUUCCAUCCAGCGAAUCCAUUGUCUCCCCACCACCCGCAUUCAGAUUCUCAUUCUCGGACGCAGCAUAAAGUCAACUCUGCUCUAACCAAAAGCCAAGCUAAAGAGAUCACAUAGAGUACACAACACAACUCAAAAAGGCAAAUCGCCUCCCUCUCCUCCAUGGAUAGCGAUGAGUGGACCAGAUUUUAAGAAGGAAAACAUCCAGUAACGCAGCAAACCAAAGAGAAAGUCGAACGACUUGAACAGUCGCAUCCGUCAGCGAGAUCACAUCACAAUUUGCAAGCAAGCACAUGAGAUCACUGGUUUCAGUGCUGGUCGGUCAGGCUGUAAAAAAAACGCGGUGUCCUCGCCAAGGGCAAAUUUUAUUUACUUUCUACUGAGAAAAGUUAUGUACUAUAUUGUCCACAAAAAAUGUAAUUGUGCUGCUUUGUAUCAUGCCAUGCAAAAAUUAUUCGCGUGUUGUGGUGUGAACGUCCAAGCUUCUAUGUGUCAUUUGUUGUUGUUGUGCUGUCCGUGUUCGUGUUGUGAAAUUGUGUGGUUUGUCUGUCUGUCUAUCUGUCUGUCUCGCUCAGCAAGAAAUACAUACAUAGAUAAUUAAUAUUGCCGCCUUUUCAUUCACUCAAAAUGUCGUUCAGUAUGAAGGACAUGGGAAUUGUGCUUGAAUUUCAAAGUGUUCAUGACGACUUUGACGCAAAUAUUUGGGGAAACCAUGUGAGAAAUAAUAAGUAGCGAUACAAACCUGGAAUGUAAAGAAGUGCAUUCAUGGGAAAGCCUUAUAUGAUAAGGAUCCUUGGGAAUGAACCCGUGGAUGAAGACGUCGUGAUUUUAAUUAUCAUUGCGGGCAUGGUUUUCUUACUGUUAUUCAUUGUCAUCGUUUUAAGAAACAUCCUCUGAAAACUAGUCAUGCUCAAGUAGCUCAAGUACCGCUCAGGAUUUGCCUAACGUUUCCGAAAAAUAUUUGAAUGAUGAGACGAAGAAAGAAGAAGAAAAAAACUUUUCCGCAAUAAUUUUAACCUUCUUUCAAAUUGUAGUACAUUUAUAAACGACUCAAUUUAUGAAAUACAAUAAAUAAAGACGGCCUAUAUAUGUAUAUUUUUAGAGAUUAGCACAUGAUGUACCUUACAUAAAUGUUAUGAUAAAUAUGUGAUUGUUUUAAUUAACUGUCUUAAUAUUUAAUACUUUAAAGAUACAAACUAGUUUUGAUAAAUGUACAAACGUUGCUGCAUGAUUAAACAAAAUUAAACAAAAAUAUUUAAACAAGCUCAAAGAAGAAGUGAUGAUGUCCAAAAAAUGUUAUAUUUAUAAAUAUUCUACGUGCGUUCUCUCCUCAAAAACUUGUGAAUUACAAGUCAACCACAAACAUCAGGAGACGACGGACAAGUUGUAAAUACGUAACUUUAAAGUUCAUGUUUUGAAAUUGGGGAAAUAAAACAGAAGCAAAUCUUUGUCUCUGGCAUGUGUUUGA